UUGCUGACAGCCUACUUGAGAAAAUAUU
rnacentral:sRNA from 1 species